rnacentral:sRNA from 1 species
GCUGGGCGUGGUGGCUCACGCCUGUAAUCCCAGCACUUUGGGAGGCCGAGGUGGGUGGAUCACCUGAGGUCAGGAGUUCAAGACCAGCCUGGCCAACAUAGUGAAACCCCAUCUCUA